GCUUGUUCUCUGCCCUGGAGGCCAGCUGGGAGGAGACAGCUUGCAUCCAUAUGCUUAAACACUCUUUCCCCUGAAAACAGCGUGGCUAUAUCCCACCUGUCACUUGGAAAUGGGUCCUACAUUGUGUUAACUCCUGUGUAGGGUGGGUCUGAAUUCAAACACUAGAGAGCUUUCCAGUGAAUGUCCAUGAAUUACGACAGUAAACAAUGCAACAGAAGAUAUUAAACUGAUAAAGCUGUGGGGAAUGAGGAAGGCAUUGUCUAUCAUUCUCUUUGAGAAGAAUCUUCAGAAGGAACAAGGUAAAUCUACUGUGAAUGUUAUGAGCCAAACCCAGAUCACCAACUUCAAACAGAAUUGGCGGUACCUGUAGAGAGUUUUCCCUGGCAGACAAGAUUUCACUAAAGCCAGCAGAGCAGAGAAAAUUAGACUGCCUGUGAGAGAGAAGCCUGAGACUGAGAUGAAUAGGACAUGGUCUGUCCUUCGCGUGAAGAGAGCUGUGAAGAGUGUCCUUCAUGAGAAGAGAGCAGUUUUAGAAAACUGAUACUACUUCAGCUGUGGACUUGAAGAGAGACAGUAUACAGCCCUGUGCUCAAAGUUUGUUCAACAGUAAGAGGAACAUUCUUACUGCUAAAUUGGAAAAAUACGGAUUUGAAGGGUGUACUAUUCAUUGGAGGAGGAAGUGGUUGGAUGGUCACAACCAGAGAGUUGUGGUAAAUAGUGUUAUGUUCAGGCAUCUCUCAGCCUUUCCUCAUAGGAGGGAAGUUCCUGGUCCCAAAUCUUCUUUGUGGCCCUUCACCGGACUCUUUCUAGAAGUUCCUUGUCUUACUUGAACUGAGGAGUCCAGAACUGGACAGAGUACUCCAGAUGUGGCCUCCUCAGGGCAGAGUACAGGGGAAGGAUCACCUCUCUCAACCUGCUGGCCACUCUACUCUGCCCUGAGGAGGCCACAUCUGGAGUACUGUUGUCUACCCAUUUCUGCCAAUACAAAUGGAAUUUGAAGAUCUUGUUAUGUAGGCUUCUCAAACACAUUAGCACUGAGCAACAAACUCUUUGUGUUCUUGAGCAGUCAGUGUACAUGUGCUUUGUCACAAAAUGAAGCCACAGUUUUCUUGACAAAAAAAAGAACAAUUCAGAAAUUCUUCCAUACAUAUGUCAAAAACUUUGUGGAUUCUAAUUAUAAUUUGUAAUAUUGUCCACUCAGCUUCAAAACCUGAACUAAAUUUGCUUUGGAAUUAGAGCAACACAGAUACGCUUAUUUCUGAAUGUAGAAUAUAACUGUGGUUGCAUAUACAUAGAAUCUAUCAUAAUGGCAUGUACUAGAAGAUUUUUAUCAUUGUUAAUGUCUUCAAGACUAAUGUUGACUCCUUUGCUAUUUUUAAAUCUCCAUCACACUUUUCUUUGCAAGUUCAAUUUUUUCAUGACCUAGAGGAUCAGAAUCUCAAAUGAGCUAAGGAGAGUUCUUUCUUGAUUCAGGGAAAAAAAAUAAGCAAGUAAAAAAAUUUCUCUCUGAACAUCACUGUUUUUAAAAUAAAUUUGGAGGUUGAAGCAAGGAUGUCAAACUACCAUAAGGAAUUUUAUUUUCCUUCUUGGGUUCUGGGCCAUUUACUUGAUCAGACCCAAAGCAAACAUGGGUCUAUUGCUAGAUUCUGUUUCAGAGAUGACUGACAUGGUCAUAGAUGUUCUGAAAACAGGGCAUUAUACAUCUCUGGAACUUCCUCUUAUGUUCUGAUUUAUUAUUUGGUACUCUGAGGCAUACGCUGCUUGUUCUCUCACUUGACUUAAAAAAAAAUGUAUCUUAAAUACCUGAGCAAUAUUCCAGUCCUCAUAUUAAAACAAAUAGUACCUCAUUUCUUCCAAGUCCAGGACUAGGUGUUCUAUCCCACUGUGAAACAGAAAAUUUCUCCAAUGGAAGAAAGGGAAAAAAAAUCGACACCUCCAGUCACUCUAAUAUAUUUGAAAGCAUUUUAUAUCUUAUGUAGAGAAUCUGUCACGUGCUGAAGAAUUGGAUCUGGUCUUUACUAGUCUUUUGGAGAAAACUUUAUCUUUCUGGAAGGAAAAGGCUUUUUUGUGGUUAGCUGAAUGAAAAGAAAACAAAGACACCAGAGGGCUAAGGCUCUAAACUGAGUCUUGUGGAAAUAGAUCAGUGAACAAAAGUCUUGUGAAGAGGUCACAGAUAGAUACACCAUGAAUUGAUUUUUUCAGUACUUCCACCAUUCAGCACAAAGGCGACACUUCCUUAUUAAUAUGUAUCCAGGAUUCUGAAAUAACUGAAAGUGCUGGAAAAAAAUGUAUGAAGAGUUCUGAAAACUGCUGAAUUUUACUGGCAAUAAAGUUUGACCAU
ensembl:lncRNA